GGACUGGUAGCUCAGAGUUUGGUAGAGCGCGACCCUGAAAAGGUCGGCGUCGGGGGUUCGAGGCCCUCCCAGUCCG
rnacentral:tRNA from 2 species